UAAAAUUCUAACUUCUCCCACAUCUUAACACUAGUUACGAAUUAAGAUAACCAUAAAUAAUCGUGUACCUGGGGAGUAUUCCGAAGAUUUUACACAAGGAUAUCUAUAGAGAUAAAUUUUUUAACGAAAUAAUAUUUUACCACAUACAAUUUGAUAGUAGUGAUAAAAAUGAAUGCGUACCCUUUGAGAAUAUUUUGGAAGUCACAGUCGAAAGGGAUUCGUGAAGAUUGUAAUUGAUCGAGGGAGUAAUUAACUAAACGCGUUUAAUUGCCAAAUCCAAACUAAUGGCUUUAAGCGGAACAUUUAAAAAUUAAUUUUAUCGGUACUCGUUUUCAGUUCCCAAAUUGCUCUAGAUUUGAAUUAAGUUUCAAAAUGGCGGAAGCAGGAAGCACGAUACCACGUGACCCUAGAAGUACCAACAUCAACCGCUGCAGUUCGCAUUUUUCAACUGUAAUCUGUCAUGAGCAUUCUCCCGACUCAUCUCUGUUUGAAUGUAGAACUUAAUCGCUAGGUCUUGCGCUCGCCGAUUUCCUUAUUGUUACAUCUAGAAACCGAAGUUGGUCGUUACUGCAACAUUUCUUCAAAAGGGUCGUACCCGUUGAAGAAAGUCCCUCGCAGCCAUCGUUAAAGGAUAAUCUAGGACAAUGAAUUUUGGAGGGAUUUCGCCUCAAGAUGGCGGCGAGUGAUGUUUUGCUUGGUUGUAUAUCAGCUUGCCGGUACGAAUCGUGAACGAUUUUGAGCGUCGGGUGUCAGCUCGGGAGAAUACAUGGUGCAUGGUCGCACGAGGGGACGCACGUUGGGCGCAAAAAUAAGAGAAUAAUCCUUUCGGCAGAAAUUCACAAGGCCGCGAGGAACGCCCGAGAUGUCGAAGGGCGACGAGAAUGUCGACACCGGGGACACGGGAGACAAUUCGAAUGGGUCUUCGGCGGAGACCACGUCGAGUCGAGGAGGAGACUUCGAGACGAAGCUCGAGACGGACCGCAGCAAAAGGUUCGACUAUUUGCUCAAACAAACGGAAAUCUUCUCCCAUUUCAUGACUAACAACCAAAAGGACAAAGCUGGUAGUCCGUUGAAAAUCAAGGCUGGCAGGCCCAGGAAGCAACCUGCCGAGGCCCCAGUUAAGGCAGACACUGUUGAUCACAGGCAUCGUAAGACCGAGCAGGAAGAAGAUGAAGAAUUGCUUGCAGAAAGCAAUGCCAGCGUUGCUCCGACAACUCGAUUCGAAUCCUCCCCUCAUUACAUAAAGUCCGGUGAACUCCGGGAUUACCAAAUCCGAGGCUUGAAUUGGAUGAUAUCGUUGUAUGAGAAUGGAAUCAACGGUAUCUUGGCCGACGAGAUGGGUCUCGGCAAAACGUUGCAGACGAUAUCGCUUUUAGGUUAUAUGAAGCACUUUCGAAGCAUUCCUGGGCCGCAUAUCGUUAUCGUGCCAAAGUCUACACUUGCUAAUUGGAUGAAUGAGUUUAAAAAGUGGUGUCCCAGUUUGCGAGCGGUGUGUCUCAUCGGGGAUGCCGAGACUAGGAAUACCUUCAUUCGAGAUGUCAUGAUGCCGGGAGAGUGGGAUGUCUGCGUCACUUCCUAUGAAAUGGUCAUUAAAGAGAAAUCCGUAUUUAAGAAGUUCAACUGGCGUUACAUGGUAAUCGACGAAGCCCACAGGAUAAAAAAUGAGAAAUCGAAGCUCUCGGAAAUUCUAAGGGAGUUCAAAACAGCAAAUAGGUUGCUGUUGACCGGUACUCCGUUGCAGAAUAACCUCCACGAGUUGUGGUCUCUGUUGAAUUUCCUCCUCCCUGAUGUGUUUAACAGUUCGGAUGAUUUCGAUUCAUGGUUUAAUACAAACAGUUUUUUAGGUGACAAUUCUCUUGUGGAGAGAUUGCAUGCCGUUCUUAGACCAUUCCUCCUCAGACGUUUAAAGUCCGAAGUAGAGAAAGGUCUCAAGCCGAAGAAGGAAAUUAAGGUUUACAUAGGUCUGAGUAAAAUGCAAAGAGAGUGGUACACGAAAGUGUUAAUGAAGGACAUCGAUAUAGUGAACGGGGCUGGAAAAAUUGAAAAAAUGAGGCUCCAAAACAUUUUGAUGCAGCUGCGCAAAUGUUGCAACCAUCCGUACCUGUUCGAUGGCGCCGAGCCUGGUCCUCCGUACACAACCGAUGAACAUUUAGUGUACAAUUGCGGUAAAAUGGUGAUUCUGGACAAAUUAUUGCCGAAACUUCAACAGCAGGAGUCGCGAGUACUGAUUUUCAGUCAGAUGACUAGAAUGUUGGACAUUUUAGAAGAUUAUUGCCAUUGGAGGGCCUUCCAGUAUUGUCGAUUGGAUGGCAACACAGCUCAUGAGGAUCGUCAACGUCAAAUCAACGAAUACAAUGCUCCGGGCAGUGAAAAAUUCAUUUUCAUGCUUUCGACUCGUGCAGGCGGUCUUGGAAUUAAUCUCGCAACUGCAGAUGUAGUUAUAAUCUACGAUUCCGAUUGGAAUCCACAAAUGGACUUGCAAGCCAUGGAUCGAGCCCAUCGAAUCGGUCAACAAAAACAAGUUCGUGUGUUCAGGUUCAUCACAGAGAACACCGUAGAAGAGAAAAUCGUCGAACGAGCAGAAGUAAAGCUUCGUUUGGAUAAAUUGGUAAUUCAGCAAGGAAGAUUAGUGGAUGCAAAACAGACAGCCCUGAACAAAGACGAGAUGUUGAACAUGAUCAGGCACGGAGCGAACGAGGUGUUCGCCUCUAAAGAUAGCGCCAUAACAGAUGAAGACAUUGACACUAUCUUGCAAAAAGGAGAGGCAAAAACAGAGGAGAUGAAGCAGAAACUGGAGAGUUUAGGAGAGUCCUCGUUAAGGAAUUUUACAGUGGAUGCUCCGACAGAUUCGGUGUAUCAGUUCGAAGGGGAAGAUUAUAGAGAAAAGCAGAAGAUCUUAGGACUGGGGAAUUGGAUAGAGCCACCAAAGCGAGAGAGGAAAGCCAACUAUGCUGUCGAUGCAUACUUCAGAGAAGCAUUGAGGGUUUCGGAGCCCAAGGCACCGAAGGCACCACGACCACCGAAGCAACCCAUUGUUCAAGAUUUCCAAUUCUUCCCUCCGCGGUUAUUCGAGCUACUCGAUCAGGAAAUCUAUUAUUUCAGGCAGACAGUUGGUUACAAGGUUCCGAAGAAUCCAGAGCUGGGAUCGGAUGCAGCAAGGAUUCAAAAGGAGGAACAGAGGAAGAUAGACGAUGCUCAGCCAUUGACCGACGAGGAGAUCGCGGAGAAGGAAAAGCUGCUUACUCAGGGCUUUACUAAUUGGACGAAACGGGAUUUCAAUCAGUUCAUAAAAGCCAAUGAGAAAUAUGGCCGCGACGAUAUAGAAAACAUUGCGAAGGACGUGGAAGGUAAGACACCCGAAGAGGUGAUGGAGUAUUCGGCAGUGUUCUGGGAACGUUGUCAUGAACUCCAGGAUAUUGAUAGAGUAAUGGCUCAGAUUGAACGUGGAGAAGCUAAAAUCCAGAGGCGAGCUGGAAUCAAGAAAGCUCUCGAUGCAAAGAUGGCCAGAUAUAGGGCACCGUUUCAUCAACUUAGGAUAGCUUACGGUACGAAUAAAGGAAAGAACUACACCGAAGAAGAAGAUAGGUUUUUGGUGUGCAUGCUGCACAAACUGGGCUUCGACAAAGAGAAUGUGUACGAAGAAUUAAGAGCAACGGUACGCUCUGCUCCACAGUUUCGGUUCGAUUGGUUUGUCAAGUCACGAACUGCUCUGGAAUUGCAGAGGAGGUGUAAUACAUUGAUCACUCUGAUAGAACGAGAAAAUCAAGAGCUGGAAGAAAGGGAGAGACAAGAGAGACGAAAGAAAGGUGGUUCGAUCGGAGUGAAGCCAGCAUCAAAGAGAAAGCAAGAGAACCUACCUGCGCCACAAGACAAACCGAGGAAAAAGAAGAAGUAAACAUCUAGAGAUCGAUUCCUUUCCUAUUAUGUAUUCUUAAUAUCAUAGGUCGUCUAUUCCAUCGACUAUCUUUAUUUCUCUCCGACAUUAAUUUAAUAACGCCGAUAAAUCCUUGUAAUAUUACCGAUCGUUCCAUCGCCACGAGAUCAUGAAUAAAUGUGAAUGCAUAAUAGUUUGAUGAUACGAGUCCCUUGCUCUCUUUAUUUAUCGAGCCUACAUGACAAGUUACCUAAGAUGUUAUCCAAUAGUUUGUAAUAUUGCAUGGUGAAAAAUAGGGUCUAACCGAGAAGUUAAUAUUUAAAAAAAUAAGGUCUAUGUCACUCUAUUUCCAAAAAAUUGAAGAAAAGGCAAAGGACGGUUUUCAUCGAUUUAUUUAACGCUACAUUCAUCGAAACUCGGAAGCGUUGGUUCCGACUGAGGAGAAAUAAAAAUAUAACGAGACGCUGUUCUUAAGGUCACAUCUCUUAAGAUACUAGUGGUAAUUUACGAUUAAUUACCAACAACUACGCGACAAUGGAAAAACUGAACUCGUAAAAAUCCUCGCUGUUCCUGUACAGCUUUACCUUUCAGUGCUGCAAACGUUCUUAACGAGCUUCCGACAUUACGAGUGCUCUAUAAAUAAAAAUACAUAUAUGUAAAAAAAAGCUCAAUAUAAAUAAUCAGAGGCUGCGUGCCAAGUAAAAUUGACGUAGCCAGUCAGAGAAGGAUAAAUAAGCCUGUAUCACUCAGAAGUAUCAGUUUCCGAGGACUUCACAUUGCUACUUAGAUUAGAAGAAUCCUUACAUACAAUUCUUCAAAUGUCACACACGCUUUAAAAGGUUUAAGCAAAUAAUUUCACCUUUACAAGGCAGUGCUGAUUAAUAAUCACCAAAUAAACUAACAUCUACUGUCGACUACUUGGACAAUGUGAAGACAAGGUAACAAAUCAACGAUGGAUUAUCAACAGCCAGUGUUUGCUACGUAAAAAAACACCCUUUGCACUGUGAUUUUCAACAAUUGUCGAUCUUAAUGUGGCACUAAACAUAGUUCCAUCGGAACCAUGUAAUACAAAUGAGGACAAUUUUUUUUCCACGUGUUGUCCUUUGUAAAUUAGAGGUUAGUUACAAUGCACAAAAUGAUACGCCAAUGAGAGGCUUCUCGAGUGGCUGCAAAAUAUGAACUCUAAGCGAUAUUCAAGAGGCAGCGUUGCUUUUUACAAGCUUUUUACAAUACCCUCGCCGAAGUUUAACACGCACGGAACUUAGCCAACAGAGGUUUGCAGAGUUUUAAACAGUUCUUCCUUAUUAUACAAUUUGCAUUCAGUUCUUAUUCUACGCAUCGAGGUGGUGCAUCCUAAUCUGUACACUUUAUUGGAAGUUAUCGUGAAUAAACGAACGAAAUUGCAAUUACUAUCUCAUGCUCUGCUCGUGAACACAGUUUAACGUUCUAUCAGUUUAUAAUAAAUUGCCGUGAGUAUAAUUGCGUAGAAAAGGAAGAGUGACAGUUUAACAUGAUUAUAAGUUAAGUCAGUGAAGAAAAAUGCAGUAACGGUACAUAUGAAUAUCAAAGUGAGGAACGCCACGUGAACAAACGUUUAACAAUAAGUGAUCUAAAUCUAAAUAAGAUUAAUUCACCGGAUAAUGUACUUGUUAAAGCUUACAAGGUAGCGGAACAAAUAUUUUAUACAACGAUCGCUUGAACGUAUUUGGAUUAAUAAUUUCGAUAAUUUGAAAUAUCACGGAACACUCCGAACUUUAGAUACAUACUUGACGGUUCUUUUAUUAUUAGCCAAAUUAGUACUUUUCCCAUAAAGAUGUGUUAUGAUUGAAUAUCUGUCCGAUGUGCACUCGUCAAGUUUGUGAAAUUAAAAGAACGACUGAACAGUA